UUCACAAUGGAGAGAGGGGAUUCUUAAGUACCUAAGCUAGACAUUAUCCUUAAAUAGGAAUUGGAAUCAGGAAGAAGAGACUGGGUUUCCCUAACUUGGACCAUCUUUGUCAGAACUACAAGUGAACAAACUGUGACACCACUGGUUAAGCUGCUGCCUGGGACCUCAUCAUCUGUAUGAGCUCACAUUCAGAUACCAGAUUCUCAGCUUUAAUCAAGCUCUGAUUUACCUGGCAGAGCAAGGAAUGAUGGCUGAAGACCCCAGGAACCUACUCUCCAAGUGGGAGACCCAGGUGGAGUUUCAGAGUCCUGGCCUCAGCCCGGCCUAUCCCUGACGAUUAUGGCCAUGUUGGGAUGUUGGGAGUAAAGCAACUGAUGAAAGAAAGAAAAUCUCUCAA